rnacentral:rRNA from 1 species
GAUGAACGCUAGCGGCAGGCUUAAUACAUGCAAGUCGAGGGGCAGCACAGAUAGCAAUAUUGGGUGGUGACCGGCAAACGGGUGCGGAACACGUACACAACCUUCCUUUUAGUGUGGGAUAGCCCAGAGAAAUUUGGAUUAAUACCACAUAGUAUAUUGGAGUGGCAUCACUUUGAUAUUAAAGAUUUAUCGCUAAAAGAUGGGAGUGCGUAGUAUUAGGUAGUUGGUAGAGGUAACGGCUCACCAAGCCUUCGAUCAUUAACUGGUGUGAGAGCACGACCAGUCACACGGGCACUGAGACACGGGCCCGACUCCUACGGGAGGCAGCAGUAAGGAAUAUUGGUCAAUGGACGGAAGUCUGAACCAGCCAUGCCGCGUGAAGGAUGAUGGCCCUCUGGGUUGUAAACUUCUUUUAUGUGGGACGAAAAAGGGCCAUUUUUGGUCAACUGACGGUACCAUAGGAAUAAGCACCGGCUAACUCCGUGCCAGCCGCCGCCGUAA